UCUAAAAUUGAGGUAUGAAGUAAAUGAAAAACUGGUAACAAGAAAAAUCAUUUAUUUUUACCAGGUAGUCUUAAGAAUGUUCACCACAUUUUCUUUGUAUAAAAUUUCUCUAGGGAAGAGGCUUCUUGCUAAUAAGAAAGAUAUCUUGAGUUGUUAGGGAAUGCAAGCUAUUAGUUAUUCUAUCUACAGAAGAAAAGGCUCCUCUUAGCUCUGAAGUGACCUCACAAUCCAGAUGAUUCCAGAUGACUGGAUCACUUCCUCUCACGUAUGCCAGGCUGAUUAUAGCAUUAAAAAUGAAGGCAAUGUUCACCAGUGUGUGCUCCACACAUAUGACUCCAGGGCUAGCUGCCAUGUCAGAUAUGACGCUGCACUGGAGAUACAGAAGGCAAACAAGAUAAGCCAGAUCCCUGCUUUAACAGCACUUGUACUCCAAUGGAGGAGAG